GACGAACGCUGGCGGCGUGCUUAACACAUGCAAGUCGAACGGAAAGGCCCUGCUUUUGUGGGGUGCUCGAGUGGCGAACGGGUGAGUAACACGUGAGUAACCUGCCCUUGACUUUGGGAUAACUUCAGGAAGCUGGGGCUAAUACCGGAUAGGAGCUCCUGCUGCAUGGUGGGGGUUGGAAAGUUUCGGCGGUUGGGGAUGGACUCGCGGCUUAUCAGCUUGUUGGUGGGGUAGUGGCUUACCAAGGCUUUGACGGGUAGCCGGCCUGGGAGGGUGACCGGCCACAUUGGGACUGAGAUACGGCCCAGACUCCUACGGGAGGCAGCAGUGGGGAAUAUUGCACAAUGGGCGGAAGCCUGAUGCAGCAACGCCGCGUGCGGGAUGACGGCCUUCGGGUUGUAAACCGCUUUCGCCUGUGACGAAGCGUGAGUGACGGUAAUGGGUAAAGAAGCACCGGCUAACUACGUG
rnacentral:rRNA from 1 species